rnacentral:lncRNA from 1 species
UUUUUUUUUUUUUUUUUUUUUUUUGUCUUUUUAGGGCAGCACCCACAGCAUGUGGAGGUUUCCAGGCUAGGGGUUGAAUCGGAGCUGUAGCUGCUGGCCUACACCACAGCCACUGCAAUGUCAGAUCCAAGCCUUGUCUGUGACCUACACCACAGCUCCCGGCAAUGCUGGAUCCUCAACCCACUGAGCGAGGCCAGGGAUCAAACCCACAUCCUCAUGGAUGCUAGUCAGAUUCGUUAACCACUGAGCCACGACGGGAACUCCUGCAUCCUCAUUCUUAAACAAGGAACAGGAACCGCACUUUCAACACCCACCACCGAGCCAUGAGACUCUAAGGUGAAAACAGUGACAAGUAUCUAAAGGGGUUCCUGCCGCUGCUGCCAGUGACAAUACUGGGGACAUUUCCUUUACCUGCCACUUUCAGAUCUAGAUUUUUUUUUUUUUUGUCUUUUGUCUUUUUAGGGCCACACCCACGGCAUAUGGAGGGACGUAAGCACAUAUACAGAAAAGGCAUAUACCUUUGUACAUGAAUAUCUAUGUACAAAUCAUAGCUAUUUUGCUGAAUACCUUUUCACAAAGGCUACUGCCAACCAGAUCAAGACAGAAAAUAUUACCAACACCUCAGUCUCAUUUUGUGACUGUUUUCAGUCAACAUUGCCCCCAACCCCAAGGUAACUGCUACCUUGAUUUCUAUCACCGAAGAGUAAGUAGUUGUACCUGUUUUUGAAAUGCUCCCUAAUGGGAACGUACACUACUUUAUCCUGUGGGUCUGCCUUUUCUUACCCAAAGUUGGCUGAGAUUCAGCCACUUUUGUGCCCAAAGCAGUUUAUCACCUUUGCUGGAUUUUAUUCCUUUACAUAAAUACAUCAUAAAUGUAUCCAUUCUGCCAUGGUUAUCUGCUAUUUCCAGUCUUCCUUGGUUCCUGAAAACAAGCACGUACAUGUCUAUGAGUCAAGUGCUGGCCCAUUUCUGUUUCGUUUAUACCUAAAAGGGAACUGGUGCCCCAUAAAUUAUGCAUAUAUUACAUCUGCCAAAUGUGCGCUUCCAGCAGCAGUGUGGGAGAGUUCCAGUUGCUUCGUAACCUCACCCAACAAUUGACAUCGUGUCGUCACCAUUUCCUAAGUCUGGUGAGAGUGUAGUGAAAUUUCACUGUAGUUUUACUUGCAUUUCUGGAUGAAUGAGAUUCGGCAUGUUUGCCUGGGCUAGGUGUCCUCUCCUCACUGGUAAAAUGCCUCUUCAAGUCCCUUGACCACACUGCUUCAUAUUUUAGAAGCAGUUCAUGACUUACCCAUGCCAAGGCAAGGAGGAGUGGCAGGGAAAAUAAAAAAUGGUAGAUGGGGAGUUCCCGUUGUGGCACAACUAGUAUCCAUGAGGAUGCAGGUUCGAUCUCUGGCCUCGCCCAGUGGGAUAAGGAUCCGGCAUUGCCGUGAGCUGUGCUAUAGAUUGCAGACGUGGCUCCGAUCCCACGUUGCUGUGACUGUGGCAUAGGCUGGCAACUGUAUCUCUGAUUCCACCCCUACCUGGGAACCUCCAUAUGCCAUGGGUACAGCCCUAAAAAGAAAAAAAAAAAAAAAAAAAAAAAGUAAAAGGUUUGAAAAAAAUCAUGUCUUUUCAUUUCAGUCUUUAUUCCAGUACUUGGAUCUAGAGUUCCUUGAACUCUGUGAAUUCAUAAUCAUAACACCAUCCACAGAGAAGCUAGAAAAGUAAUGAGAGCUGUCAUUUACUAAGCACUUAGGAUGUGCCAACUCUUUGUCAUCGCACAUAAAUCUUACAUGUAUUUUAUGAGGACAGUGCUACAAUCCCCUUUUUACAGAUUGAGGGGACUGGGGUUCAGAGAGGUGGAGUAACUUGCCCAACACUACCCAGCUACUAACCUG